GCCUUCGUGGUGUAGUGGUCAGCACGCUGAGCGAGUAUUUCAGAGGUCCGUGGUUCGAGUCCCGGCGAAGGCA
rfam:Stegodyphus mimosarum contig49944, whole genome shotgun sequence.